CUACCAAAAUCAACUUAGAUUCAAAGUAAUAAGUCGGAUUCACUAGGUUCAUAAAUCAUAUAGAGAGAGAAUAUCAAAGGAGAGAGAAAUCGAUAAGAUAGAAUAUGGCUAAUCAGAUGAUACUGCACGGCAAUACGAUCGGUCUAAUCAAAAUGAUUUAAUUAAAUCAUGGUUAAAUUAAUGUAUAAAUAGUUCAAUAAAAAUCACAAAUAAUCAAAUCUAAUAGUAUCUAGAUCUAACCAAGAUGGGUGUCGGCAUGCUACCCG
rnacentral:lncRNA from 1 species